rnacentral:lncRNA from 1 species
UUUAUUGGCAGAAGAAAUUUUUUACACCUAACUCAUCCAAUCUCCUAAGCAUUUGGAUAUGGACGUUGGUGGUAAAAAGAAACAAAUAAGGCAAAAUGUGCUUUUUCAUCUAACAUGCAGCUUUGUACAAUGUUAAAAAAAAGUAUGGUGGUUUCUAUCUGCUUAGCACCCGCAUCACAGCAUUAGGAGAUGUCCUACCAUUUUCUUCUUCUCAUAACCCCUAAAACCUUAGGACUGUAGCAUCCUUUAAUAGUUCAUUUUGCCAUUAAAUGCAUAAACAAAAAAUAAUUAGAAGGUACAGUCUAGACUACUGUUCUGAAUCCUCAAAAUGUGCAGUCGAUUCAGUUUUUCUCCUGAUUCUAAGCAGAAUCUACACCAAUCAAGCAAAAUCUCCCUUCCUUAAUAUGUAUUUCGUAUGUGUUAACUGCAGUAUCUUAUGUUAAAUGCUUUUCUGCUAGCGAUACAGUCUACACAAACCAGCUUACAUCUGACCUCCCAAAUUAGCUCUUGCUUCAUUGAUCGUGGAAGAAUCUCCUUAUCAGCAUCUCUAUAAAAAUCCUUAGUAGUCCAAACAACUGCAUCUGCAGUUCUGCAUUCAGGUCCCCACCACCUCUGGUACAUUAUUGAUAAGAAGGCCACCACAUCUGACAUCAGUCCUACACUAACUCAAUGGAGAUUGUGGUCUUUAAGAGAAAUUCCUCCCAACAAUAUGUAUAAGCAAAAGAUGAUCCUCUCACUAGGCCCUACAAGAAAAUAUAUGUUCGUUGGAAACUCCAUCCAAACUUUCAUAAUAACACUAUUAAGCUUCUCCAUGGGUGAGAUACUUUUUGUGAUAACCAAGAAAUUCUGAGGGCGCUGGCGCACAAUACGAACCUCAAUGGAUUAUGGGCAGACCCAUCUAUCCUUCAACUUAAAUACCAGACUUCAUUUGUGACAACACUCAAAUUCGUGACAUGCACCUAACACAUGUCAUAACCUGUGGUACCACUAAUCCAGAACACUAGGGGCCUCCAAGGUGAGCUGCUUAAAUUGCAUGUUUUAUCUUCUUCCUCCAAGUAAGAUAAACAGUUAAGAUCGUUGUCUCUAAAAAGGUUUCUACUAUCCCUGCAAGCCUCUAUUUCUCCACACUAUCAUAAAACAACCAUGAUACAGCCAUCAAAGGGCCACUAGAGAAGUGAAAUGGAGACACCUAGCACUGUACUAGUCUUGUAGGUACCAAAAUCACAAAUUUCCUCUGUUUCAGUUGAAGAUUUGUUUAUUUCAAAACUUAGAGACAGAAGUCGACACUGAAGCUCUUCCAAAGUAAUCAAUGAUCAUUCUAAUAUCAUUCUAACUCCAGUCAGCUAUUGUCACGAGUCAAUUUAGGACCGUGACCGACAAUUAGGCGCUAGGACUCCAAGCAAGCCUCAUCGGUAAUCUAGAGAAACUCGGACAGAGUUUUCCCUAUUUUUGGGCCUAUUAAAAGUUUUCCCGUCUCAGAAACAACAGAUAUCCAACCAAUAAUAACAAAUAGACCAUAAUAGUCUUCAAUUAACCACUUCCAACAUCAAAGUUCUAACACCAUCUCCCAAACGAGAAGAAGUCCUACACUUGUAACAAUUUCAUAACAACAAAGGAUAUAAGUCUUAUAAAGGAAAUUGGUUUCCAUAAUAACAAAGGAUAUAAGUCCUAUAAAGGAAAUGACCGAUUGAGCGACUCUAAGAAUUACAAGAAAUGAUCAUAACAAUAUAAAUAAACUUUCCAUCCACGCGAACAAGUGUGGGGCUCACCAGAAAUUUGUCGACUCGUACUCUCCUCACCAAAAAAAAGGGCAGCCCAGUGCACAAAAGCUACCGCUAUUGCGGUGUCCGGGAAAGGGCCCCACCACAAGGGUGUAUCGUACGCAGCCUUACCUUGCAUUUCUGCCAGAGGCUGUUUCCAAGGCUUGAACCCGUGACCUCCUAGUCACAUGGCAGCAACUUUACCAGUUACUCCAAGACUCCCUUUAACCUGCAUUAAAUAUAGCAAGGAGCGAGACACUAGCUAAGUGAGUAAUAACACUUAACCACAACCAUUUCAAUAGAGACAAGUCAGAAAACAUGCUAGUAUGAUAAUCAGAAAAUAUUAUGAAAUACAUGCCCUUUCGAAAAACAUUGAAAAUAAGCAAUCUCAAUUGUUUCAUGUAAGCAAGAUCAACUAACUGUCCGAUAAUAAACUCAAUAAGCAUAUAUCAUAUCAAAUAUUACAUAUUUUGAGAGGUUUCCAAGAAUGAAUCAUGUAAUCGGAGUGACUUUCUACUUCAGGAAAAGGCAAUAACUACGAAUCCCUCAGAAAGGAGUCAAAUAAUCAUAUCAAUAGGUCCCUAUUUAAGGGAAAUCAGUAACAGUAUGCUAGUUCUACCUUUCCACUAACGAGGGCUAUAACUGUAAUAUGUAAUACAAGGUGCACCAGGUAUAACAAACCCAUUGUUAGCUACGGGAUCCAAAUCAAGGUCCACUCCCAUUUAUACUUUUCUUUCAAAACAGUAGGUACUCGUAUAAUAGCCUUUUCAAAAUA